rnacentral:rRNA from 1 species
GCAGCCGCGGUAAUUCCAGCUCCAAUAGCGUAUAUUAAAGUUGUUGCAGUUAAAAAGCUCGUAGUUGAAUUUCGGGGUCAGCAGGUUGGUCGUGCCACUGGUAUGCACUGGUCUCUCUGAUUCCUCCCUCUUGUAGAACCGUAAUGCCAUUAAGUUGGUGUUGCGGGGAAACAGGACUGUUACUUUGAAAAAAUUAGAGUGUUUAAAGCAAGCUAACGCUUGAAUACAUUAGCAUGGAAUAAUGAAAUAGGACGAUCGAUCCUAUUUUGUUGGUUUCUAGGGUUGACGUAAUGAUUAAUAGGGAUAGUUGGG